rnacentral:rRNA from 1 species
AGCUGAAACUUAAAGGAAUUGACGGAAGGGCACCACCAGAAAUGGAGCCUGCGGCUUAAUUUGACUCAACACGGGGAAACUUACCCGGCCCGGACACAGGAAGGAUUGACAGAUUAAGAGCUCUUUCUUGAUUCUGUGGGUGGUGGUGCAUGGUCGUUCUUAGUUGGUGGAGCGAUUUGUCUGGUUAAUUCCGAUAACGAACGAGACUCUAGCCUACUAAAUAGACGUUCCGAUCCACUGCGUCGGACGUUCUUCUUAGAGGGACAAGCGGCGUUUAGCCGCACGAGACAGAGCAAUAACAGGUCAGUGAUGCCCUUGGAUGCUCGGGGCCGCACGCGCGCUACAUUGAAGGAAUCAGCGUGUGCUUUCCCUGUCCGACGGGACUGGGUAACCCGUUGAAACUCCUUCGUGCUGGGGAUAGGGAGUUGUAAUUUUCUCCCUUGAACGAGGAAUUCCCAGUAAGCGCGAGUCAUCAGCUCGCGUUGAUUACGUCCCUGCCCUUUGUACACACCGCCCGUCGCUACUACCGAUUGAGCGAUUUAGUGAGGUCUUCGGACUGGCGCUCGGAGCGGCCUUCGGGUCGUGCCGGCGUGCCGGAAAGAUGACCGAACUUGACCGCUUAGAGGAAGUAAAAGUCGUAACAAGGUUUCCGUAGGUGAACCUG